rnacentral:sRNA from 1 species
CAAAAUUCAUGACCCACUGAAAGCUUGCUUUCACGUGGGGAGAUGAAUUUCUGACUGCCCCAGAUAUGAGCAUGGAGCGCUGCAUCGCUGCGCGGGAAUGCGAAUAUCGGGGCGGAUUGCGAAAGCACGCAGUGCGAAGCAAUCCGC